GCGUAGUAACCACCGAGCGCUUGGAAGACAAACGAUGUCAUCUUCCUUCUGUCAGGAGGAUCCAAGUGAAGCUACAGGAGUUUCAUUAACGUCAAUAACUUGGACCGAACACUUUGUUUUGCUUGAUGAAGAGAAGGAAGGGCAGCCUGGAGAGAAAGAGAAGCCGGGUUGAGCCCACUACCAUCAUCCACGUACCACGAGGAAGAUGAGGGAGAGAAAUGAUCCUACCAUUAAAGAGACUGUGAAAAGAACGUUGAGAACAUCACCAUUCUACAGGAAGACACAGUCCAGUAAUGGGUGUCAGAAGUUCAGUAGUGAACGACAGG